rnacentral:rRNA from 1 species
UACGGAGGAGGCAAGCGUUAUCCGGAAUUAUUGGGCGUAAAGCGUCCGUAGGUGGUUUAGUAAGUCUGCUGUUAAAGCGCGGGGCUUAACUCCGUAUCGGCAGUGGAAACUACUAGACUAGAGUGUGGUAGGGGUAGAGGGAAUUCCCAGUGUAGCGGUGAAAUGCGUAGAUAUUCGGAAGAACACCAGUGGCGAAGGCGACUUACUGGACACAUAUUGACGCUGAGGUGCGAAAGCGUGGGGAGCAAACAGG